UGCCGCAGCUAACGCAUUAAGCGCCCCGCCUGGGGAGUACGGCCGCAAGGCUAAAACUCAAAGGAAUUGACGGGGGCCCGCACAAGCGGCGGAGCAUGCGGAUUAAUUCGAUGCAACGCGAAGAACCUUACCAAGGCUUGACAUAUACCGGAAACUCCCAGAGAUGGGGGCCCCGCAAGGUCGGUAUACAGGUGGUGCAUGGUUGUCGUCAGCUCGUGUCGUGAGAUGUUGGGUUAAGUCCCGCAACGAGCGCAACCCUCGUUCUAUGUUGCCAGCACGUGAUGGUGGGGACUCAUAGGAGACUGCCGGGGUCAACUCGGAGGAAGGUGGGGAUGACGUCAAAUCAUCAUGCCCCUUACGUCUUGGGCUUCACGCAUGCUACAAUGGCCGGUACAGAGGGCUGCGAUACCGCGAGGUGGAGCGAAUCCCUUAAAGCUGGUCUCAGUUCGGAUUGGGGUCUGCAACUCGACCCCAUGAAGUCGGAGUCGCUAGUAAUCGCAGAUCAGCAACGCUGCGGUGAAUACGUUCCCGGGCCUUGUACACACCGCCCGUCAAGUCACGAAAGUCGGUAACACCCGAAGCCGGUGGCCCAACCUCUUGU
rnacentral:rRNA from 1 species